rnacentral:rRNA from 1 species
GUGAAAUUGUUGAAAGGGAAGCGCUUGCAACCAGACCUGCCUGCAGUUGCUCAUCCGGGCUUUUGCCCGGUGCACUCUUCUGCUGUCAGGCCAGCAUCGGUUCGGGCGGUCGGAUAAAGGCUUCGGGAAUGUAGCUCCUCUCGAGGAGUGUUAUAGCCCGUUGCGAAAUGCGGCCAGCCUGAACUGAGGUCCGCGCUUCGGCUAGGAUGCUGGCGUAAUGGUUGUAAGCGGCCCGUCUUGAAACACGGACCAAGGAGUCUAACAUCUGUGCGAGUGUUUGGGUGUCAAACCCGUACGCGUAAUGAAAGUGAACGGAGGCGGGAACCCCUCGGGGUGCACCGUCGACCGAUCCUGAUGUCUUCGGAUGGAUUUGAGUAAGAGCAUAGCUGUUGGGACCCGAAAGAUGGUGAACUAUGCCUGAAUAGGGUGAAGCCAGAGGAAACUCUGGUGGAGGCUCGCAGCGGUUCUGACGUGCAAAUCGAUCGUCAAAUUUGGGCAUAGGGGCGAAAGACUAAUCGAACUAUCUAGUAGCUGGUUCCUGCCGAAGUUUCCCUCAGGAUAGCAGUAACGUUUUCAGUUUUAUGAGGUAAAGCGAAUGAUUAGAGGCCUGGGGGUUGAAACAACCUUCACCUAUUCUCAAACUUUAAAUAUGUAAGAAGUCCUUGUUACUUAGUUGAACGUGGACAUUUGAAUGUAUCGUUACUAG